rnacentral:rRNA from 1 species
AUUGAACGCUGGCGGCAGGCCUAACACAUGCAAGUCGAGCGAGCGGCGGACGGGUGAGUAAUGUCUGGGAAACUGCCUGAUGGAGGGGGAUAAAUACUGGAAACGGUAGCUAAUACCGCAUACCAUCAGAUGUGCCCCGAUGGGAUUAGCUAGUAGGUGGGGUAACGGCUCACCAAGGCGACGAUCCCUAGCUGGUCUGAGAGGAUGACCAGCCACACUGGACCUGAGACACGGUCCAGAAUCCUACGGGAGGCAGCAGUGGGGAAUAUUGCACAAUGGGCGCAAGCCUGAGGCAGCCAUGCCGCGGGUGUGAAGAAGGCCUGCGUGUUGUAAAGCACUUUCAGCGAGGAGGCGUUACCCGCAGAAGAAGCACCGGCUAACUCCGUGCCAGCCGCCGCGGUAAUUC